GUUCCCGUAGCUCAGUUGGUAGAGCAUGGUGUUUGCAACGCCAGGGUUGUGGGUUCGAUUCCCACGGGGGUCC
rnacentral:tRNA from 1 species